rnacentral:rRNA from 1 species
UACAGAGGGUGCGAGCGUUGUCCGGAAUCACUGGGCGUAAAGGGCGCGUAGGUGGCGUCGCAAGUCGAUGGUGAAAGCUUGGGGCUCAACCCCGAGUCGGCCGUCGAUACUUCCGGGCUGGAGCACUGUAGAGGCAGGUGGAAUUCCGGGUGUAGCGGUGGAAUGCGUAGAGAUCCGGAAGAACACCGGUGGCGAAGGCGGCCUGCUGGGCAGUAGCUGACGCUGAGGCGCGACAGCGUGGGGAGCAAACAGG